GUUUAACAUUUAAGCAAAUUGUCAGUGGACUGGAAAGAAAGAGGGAAGGCAACUUGACAACAUCCUGCUGACCCAAAACUGGAGAAGUCUGUUCUACCUUUCAAAGCUCUUGAGACACAUUUUGACUGCUGUUUCUGCUCAAAUAUAAAAUAAAUCCUAGGAGACUACCAAGAUUGGUUUCUGGCUGUGUGCAAAAGAAAAGUUAUUUCAAUGACAGAAUGCAGUGUCCACACAGGUCACUGCGAAAGGCUGGGGAAAGUGUGGUUUUGAGGGCUUUUGGGACCCAUCUGGGCAAACCUCCUACAACAUUGUCUGCUUUCAUAGUUUGCCAUUCUCUGUGAUGGAGGUCAGACCAGAGAACUCCUGGGAUCCCUCCCCACCUUUGUGACUGGGCUAAUUCUAUGGAUUCACCUUCCCUUGAGGUUACCAGCCUUGGAGGUGACUUCUAACUGGAAGAGAAGCCCAUUUGCAAGAGGAUGCUCGAUGGGUCAGUGGGUACCACGAGGGCCCUGUCUGAGGAUUGCUUCAUAUGUGGACUAUGCCAUACUCUUUUUCCUGUUACUUUAUUCCCUUUCCUGUGGGUUGAGUAAAAAAACCCUGAAGGAAAUUAUACCAUUCUAACCAAAAAGUAACAUAUUAAGACAAUUUGCAUUUUUAUUAAAAAAAGACAUAUUUUAUCUUUAAAAUAUAACCAGUGAUAGACACAAAAGGAUAAUCUCUAGGAUAAUGACACACUUCAGUACACUAGGCAAUUAGGUUUGCCUUUAAUUAUUUAUAGUUUGACAUGCUGCUCAUACAAAUACUCUGUGUAACAGGAGGAAGUCAGUUUGACCUUAAUUAUUGCCUGUAAAUAAUUCCUGAAUUGUAACUAAGUAGUGCCUUUUAAAAUGUAAUUAUUAUAAUACCAGAGUUACAGACCUCAUUGAUUUAUAAUUACUUAAUUGUUUAUACCCAUUAAACCACAGUUGUGAUAGGUUCAUCUUGCCUACAUGCCCUAGCCUGGAAACUGAGGAGUUAUGGCCAAGAACUCGGACUAAUGUUAUCUCCCACAGUUUAAUGGCUGAAGAAUCAUUCCAGUCUGGACAGGGUUAGUGGGGGACAAGAG
rnacentral:lncRNA from 1 species